AUUUUUCAGCAUAUGGGUGCUAAAUACAAUCGCAUUUAACCUACGAUCCAAUUAUUGCAACCACUUACUUCAUGCUUUGAAAUCAAAUUUAACUUGUCUCAAUUUCAACUCCUGAAAGACCCACAGGAUUCACAGUAUCAGCACAAAAUGAGACCAGCAUCACUCUGCAGUGGGAUAAAGACAACAACAACAUCAACUUUGUUCUUGAGUUUAAUGGCAGAUACACGGCCAUCAGUGCACCAGGUGGAAAUGGACCAGUUACUUACACAAUCCCAUCUCUCACUGCUGGAACCAGAUACACAUUCACUCUCUUCUGUUGGCUUGAGAACACGAGAAGCACUGCAGUACAACUUACAGCUGUCACUGCUCCUCAAAAUCCAGGCAACUUUAGACCGUCAACGCAAGAUGAGACCAGCAUCACUCUGCAGUGGGAUAAAAUCAGCGACUUUGUCAGCUGCAUUCUACAGUUUAACGGCACAGAGACAAACAUUGGUGCAGCAAGUGGAAAUGAAUCAGUAACUCACACAGUCUCAUCUCUGACGGCUGGAACUAGAUACACAUUCACUCUCUUUUCUGUGUUUGACAAUAUCAGAAGCAGUGGAGUCAACAUCACAGCAUCUACUGGGCCAAGUAAGUAAAUGCAGCUCUGAAACUUAAUCCAGCUGUAUUUUCAUCAAUGAUGUUUGUUUUUUCCAGUUCAACACACUUUCAAAAUGUUGUUUCUAGCUGCACUGAUAUACUGUAUGUAACUUUGCUAAGACAAUAACUUCGCUUAUUAUGUUGACAAAGCUAAGACCAGUGUUGUCCCAGUUAAUACUAACAAGAACUAGUUCUAAAGUCAGUCAAAAUGUUUCUCACAACACACUUUAUUAAGUCCUGUUUUCCCUUUUAAUUGUAUUAUUAUUCCUAUCUUGUUCUUCUGAAAUAAAGUUUGGGUGAAUUUUUCAGUGGAAAA